rnacentral:misc_RNA from 1 species
GAUGAAGAACGCAGCGAAAUGCGAUACGUAAUGUGAAUUGCAGAAUUCAGUGAAUCAUCGAAUCUUUGAACGCAUAUUGCGCUCUCUGGUAUUCCGGAGAGCAUGCUUGUUUGAGUAUCAGUAAACACCUCAACUUUCCAUAUCUUUUUUGAAAUGGGAGUUGGACUUGAGUGAUCCCAACGCUUUUCCUCACCGAAAAGUGGCGGGUUACUUGAAAUGCAGGUGCAGCUGGACUUUUCUCUGAGCUAUAAGCAUAUCUAUUUAGUCUGCCUAAAAAACAGAUUAUUACCUUUGCUGCAGCUAACAUAAAGGAGAUUAGUUCUUGUGCUGACUGAUGCAGGAUUCACAAAGACAGGCUUCGGCCGACUUUGUAAACUCGAUCUCAAAUCAAGUAAGACUACCCGCUGAACUUAAGCAUAUCAAUAAGCGGAGA